rnacentral:rRNA from 1 species
CAUGACUCUCGGCAAUGGAUAUCUUGGCUCUUGCAUCGAUGAAGAGCGCAGCGAAAUGCGAUACGUGGUGCGAAUUGCAGAAUCCCGUGAACCAUCGAGUUUUUGAACGCAUGUUGCGCCUGAGGCUGACUGGCUGAGGGCACGUCCACUUGUGCGUCAAGG